rnacentral:rRNA from 1 species
AUUCCUACGGGAGGCAGCAGUGAGGAAUAUUGGUCAAUGGGCGCAAGCCUGAACCAGCUAUGCCGCGUGCAGGAUGACGGUCCUAUGGAUUGUAAACUGCUUUUAUACAGGAAGAAACACUCGGACGUGUCCGAGCUUGACGGUACUGUAGGAAUAAGGAUCGGCUAACUCCGUGCCAGCAGCCGCGGUAAUACGGAGGAUCCAAGCGUUAUCCGGAAUCAUUGGGUUUAAAGGGUCCGUAGGCGGCUUAAUAAGUCAGUGGUGAAAUCCCUACGCUUAACGUAGGAACGGCCAUUGAUACUGUUAGGCUUGAAUUAUUAGGAAGUAACUAGAAUAUGUAGUGUAGCGGUGAAAUGCUUAGAGAUUACAUGGAAUACCAAUUGCGAAGGCAGGUUACUACUAAUUGAUUGACGCUGAUGGACGAAAGCGUGGGUAGCGAACAGGAUUAGAUACCCUGGUAGUCCACGCCGUAAACGAUGGAUACUAGCUGUUCGGAGCAAUCUGAGUGGCUAAGCGAAAGUGAUAAGUAUCCCACCUGGGGAGUACGUUCGCAAGAAUGAAACUCAAAGGAAUUGACGGGGGCCCGCACAAGCGGUGGAGCAUGUGGUUUAAUUCGAUGAUACGCGAGGAACCUUACCAAGGCUUAAAUGUAGAUUGACCGGUUUGGAAACAGAUCUUUCGCAAGACAAUUUACAAGGUGCUGCAUGGUUGUCGUCAGCUCGUGCCGUGAGGUGUCAGGUUAAGUCCUAUAACGAGCGCAACCCCUGUCGUUAGUUGCCAGCGAGUCAUGUCGGGAACUCUAACGAGACUGCCAGUGCAAACUGAGAGGAAGGUGGGGAUGACGUCAAAUCAUCACGGCCCUUACGCCUUGGGCUACACACGUGCUACAAUGGCCGGUACAGAGAGCAGCCACUGGGUGACCAGGAGCGAAUCUAUAAAACCGGUCACAGUUCGGAUCGGAGUCUGCACCUCGACUCCGUGAAGCUGGAAUCGCUAGUAAUCGGAUAUCAGCCAUGAUCCGGUGAAUACGUUCCCGGCCCUUGUACACACCGCCAUCCAUAUG